GAUGAACGCUGGCGGCGUGCCUAAUACAUGCAAGUCGAGCGAACAGACGAGGAGCUUGCUCCUCUGACGUUAGCGGCGGACGGGUGAGUAACACGUGGAUAACCUACCUAUAAGACUGGGAUAACUUCGGGAAACCGGAGCUAAUACCGGAUAAUAUAUUGAACCGCAUGGUUCAAUAGUGAAAGACGGUUUUGCUGUCACUAUUAGAUGGUUCCGCGCCGCAUUAGCUAGUUGGUAAGGUAACGGCUUACCAAGGCAACGAUGCGUAGCCGACCUGAGAGGGUGAUCGGCCACACUGGAACUGAGACACGGUCCAGACUCCUACGGGAGGCAGCAGUAGGGAAUCUUCCGCAAUGGGCGAAAGCUUGACGGAGCAACGCCGCGUGAGUGAUGAAGGUCUUCGGAUCGUAAAACUCUGUUAUUAGGGAAGAACAAAUGUGUAAGUAACUAUGCACGUCUUGACGGUACCUAAUCAGAAAGCCACGGCUAACUACGUG
rnacentral:rRNA from 1 species